UAUGGUAGAAAAUUAAUCACAAUAGUAAAGUAAAGAAAUAGUCACAGAAAUAAACAAAAAAGAGAUUGAAGGGUCAGUCAUAAUAGACAAAGAAUUAGAAUCAUAAUAUAGNNNNNNNNNNNNNNNNNNNNNNNNNUCACUAGUAUUAGAGAAAUAUUAAAAUAUUAAGUACCAUAUCUCCAAUAAUACAAAUAAUUAAUAUCAAAAGCAUGAACAUUCAACAUUACUAAAUGACCAAGAUCCAUACUGAGUUGUGAUAAAAUCAAAAUAAAACCCCCUACUCUUCCAUGAAAAAAACAGCACAAGCAAUUUCUUGAUAUUGGUAAGCGAUUCCCGUUAAGGAAGAGAAAGGAACGCACCUCAGUGAUGGUAGUCGACUGCGUGAGGCGAGGAGCGAGUGGCAGUGAGGGAAAGUUCCGGCGGUGGUGGUGUGGCACUUACAGGGACGCCACAUCUGAGUAGUGAAAGAGAAGCUUCAUGGUUGGAGACAGAACGAGAGAACGAACAAGGGAACAAUGAA
rnacentral:lncRNA from 1 species